rnacentral:misc_RNA from 1 species
UACGGAGGGUGCAAGCGUUAUCCGGAUUUACUGGGCGUAAAGAGUUUGUAGGCGAUUUCGAAAGUCAUUCUUCAAAUACCGGGGCUCAACCUCGGACAGGGGAGUGAUACUACGAGAAUUGGAUAGUUUAGGGGCUACUGGAACUUGCCAUGUAGGGGUGAAAUCCGUUGAUAUGGCAAGGAACAUCGAGGGCGAAGGCGGGUAGCUGGAAACUUAUCGACGCUGAGAAACGAAAGCCAGGGUAGCGAAAGGG